GACGAACGCUGGCGGCGUGCCUAAUACAUGCAAGUAGAACGCUGAAGAGAGGAGCUUGCUCUUCUUGGAUGAGUUGCGAACGGGUGAGUAACGCGUAGGUAACCUGCCUUGUAGCGGGGGAUAACUAUUGGAAACGAUAGCUAAUACCGCAUAACAAUGGAUGACACAUGUCAUUUAUUUGGAAGGGGCAAUUGCUCCACUACAAGAUGGACCUGCGUUGUAUUAGCUAGUAGGUGAGGUAACGGCUCACCUAGGCGACGAUACAUAGCCGACCUGAGAGGGUGAUCGGCCACACUGGGACUGAGACACGGCCCAGACUCCUACGGGAGGCAGCAGUAGGGAAUCUUCGGCAAUGGGGGCAACCCUGACCGAGCAACGCCGCGUGAGUGAAGAAGGUUUUCGGAUCGUAAAGCUCUGUUGUAAGUCAAGAACGAGUGUGAGAGUGGAAAAUUCACACUGUGACGGUAGCUUACCAGAAAGGGACGGCUAACUACGUGCCAGCAGCCGCGGUAAUACGUAGGUCCCGAGCGUUGUCCGGAUUUAUUGGGCGUAAAGCGAGCGCAGGCGGUUUGAUAAGUCUGAAGUUAAAGGCUGUGGCUCAACCAUAGUUCGCUUUGGAAACUGUCAAACUUGAGUGCAGAAGGGGAGAGUGGAAUUCCAUGUGUAGCGGUGAAAUGCGUAGAUAUAUGGAGGAACACCGGUGGCGAAAGCGGCUCUCUGGUCUGUAACUGACGCUGAGGCUCGAAAGCGUGGGGAGCGAACAGGAUUAGAUACCCUGGUAGUCCACGCCGUAAACGAUGAGUGCUAGGUGUUGGAUCCUUUCCGGGAUUCAGUGCCGCAGCUAACGCAUUAAGCACUCCGCCUGGGGAGUACGACCGCAAGGUUGAAACUCAAAGGAAUUGACGGGGGCCCGCACAAGCGGUGGAGCAUGUGGUUUAAUUCGAAGCAACGCGAAGAACCUUACCAGGUCUUGACAUCCCGAUGCUAUUUCUAGAGAUAGAAAGUUACUUCGGUACAUCGGUGACAGGUGGUGCAUGGUUGUCGUCAGCUCGUGUCGUGAGAUGUUGGGUUAAGUCCCGCAACGAGCGCAACCCCUAUUGUUAGUUGCCAUCAUUCAGUUGGGCACUCUAGCGAGACUGCCGGUAAUAAACCGGAGGAAGGUGGGGAUGACGUCAAAUCAUCAUGCCCCUUAUGACCUGGGCUACACACGUGCUACAAUGGUUGGUACAACGAGUUGCGAGUCGGUGACGGCAAGCUAAUCUCUUAAAGCCAAUCUCAGUUCGGAUUGUAGGCUGCAACUCGCCUACAUGAAGUCGGAAUCGCUAGUAAUCGCGGAUCAGCACGCCGCGGUGAAUACGUUCCCGGGCCU
rnacentral:rRNA from 1 species